ACCUUGUGUAACUCGCCCGAUGA
rnacentral:siRNA from 1 species